rnacentral:rRNA from 1 species
CCGCCCGUCACACCACGAAAGUUGUUUGCACCAGAACGUCGCUGAGCUAACCGCAAGGAAGCAAGCGCCCAAGGUGUGUGCAAUGAUUGGGGUG